AGGCAUUGGAUUGUCAUUUUCUUUUCAUUGUACAGAAAAAUUUGAUUCAUUCGAAAAAAUAUAAGUGACGUGUCAGGAAGCAAAAUUAAAAAUAUUCAUAAAUUUGUUGUUUGCCUUUUAUUUCGUUUUGCACCCUUAACCACGUCAAAGUCUUUUGAAGGUAAACACGGUGGUACACGCAAACCGGGAAGACCAAAAGCCCGAUGGAAAGAUCAAGUUGUGGGAGACACCUCGAAACUUGGUGUCAGAGAUUUAAGAAUGAGCGCAGAAGAUCGAGGCGCUUGGACCGCUAUUCUACGUUCGGCUAGUGGAACAAAUAUUCUGUCGUAGCCAAUUAAAGCCUAAAGUGUUUAUGAUGCUUUCACCCAUUUUGUCAAAUAUUCUGUUGACGCCAUCAAAUAACAGGCAUGCCGUGAUGCUGCGAUAACUGAUUAUGACGUGGUGGUUGUGACGGAAUGGUACCACAGCAGUGGAAUAUUUUUUCAGGCCGUCUAUUAUCUUUUUGACAACACUGGUUUAAACAGCUCACGCACGUUUCGUGUUUUGUUUCACUGUCAAACAUCUUCAGUUUGGUCCACAAUUAAACCAUGAAUCGUCUUACAAACGAACAAUGCUUGCAAAUUAUUGAAUUUUAUUAUCAAAAUCCGUGCUCAGUUAAGAAAGUUCAUCGCGCGCGCAUUUUUGCUCAUUUUUUCUCAUAAGCUGAAUUGUCGAUUUUGGAGUGAAGGUCAGCCAGAAGCAUUGCAAGAGCUACCAGUGUAACCUGAAAGUCACUGUUUGGUACCGUUUAUGGGCUGGUGGCAUCAUUGGACCGUACUUCUGCAAAGAUGAUCCGAAUCGUAAUGUAACAGUGAACGGCGAGCGCAACCGUGAGAUGAUAUCCAACUUUUUUUAUCCAAAUUGCAAGAGCUUGACUUGCAUGGCAUAAGGUUUCAACAAGACGGUAUCACAUGCCACACAGCACACGUAACAAUGGAUUUAUUGAGAGGCGAGUUCGGUGUGAACAUUUUAUGUCACGUUCGGACCGGUCAAUUGGCUGCCUAUAUCGUGCGAUUUAACGCAUUUAGACUAUUUUUUGUGGAGCUAUGUUCAAGCUCAUGUCUAUACAGACAAUGGAGCAUUUAUUUGUGAGAUACCGGCCGAAAUUUUGGAAAGGGUAUGGCAAAAUUGGACUAAGCGGAUGGACCAUUUGAGGCGCAGCCACGGUCAACAUUUGAAUGAAAUAAUUUAAACAUUAUAUUAUAUGGACCGUACUAUCGAUUCAAAUAAAAUUUCAUUAAUUUUUCUGA